AAAUUCCGUAGGGUAAAUAGCCUCAAGUGCCUCAAGUUCUUGGCGCUGUUCUUCCUCGUAAUCAGUCAUUUAGAUGUCUACAUCCGGAGAGCCUUAACCGAUGGUUAGCACAGCUUCUUGGUGAUCCUUUUAUCUCUCCAAAUCCCAUGUCGCAAGGCUUAAGCAAAUAAAAUCACAUCAUGUAAGCUUGACGCUGAAAAAGAUCAAGGGAGAAAUCAAAAUAGCUGUUAUGAUGAAGACGAGUUUCCUGAUUUGAUGCCUAUUCCUUUCGGCUACGCUGCGAGAAUUUCAAGAAUUUGGAAUGAAUUUGAGGUGUUGCAAAUGCUUGGAAAAAGGAGGUACGUAAUAAAUUGGACGGCUGUCUCUAUGAGAUCAAAAGAAAUCCUUUGAAUCCGAAAAGUGUGCUGCUUAAUCGCAAAAUUACUCGACAAGAGAAGUUACUUUCCAGAUUGAAUCAUGAAAAUAUUGUAAGAUAAAACUAAAUUUACUAUCCAACAUCAAUCGAAAUUUUAUAACGUAAUAGUUCAAAGCGAGGUUCAUUUUAGACGAUACAAAUUGCUUGGCUUAAUAAAUGUUAUCUAUGUAGAAACUAUUAUAAUAAAGUAGAUAAUCCCUUUUUUCGAUGAAGCCCAUGGAUGCUUUCGUUCAUAAUGAGAAAGUCAUAUUGUAUAAGGAGUUAUAAGAAAGUUAUCUUGUAUAAGGUAACAAGUAAAAAACGUAUAAACAUGUUUAGAGUUGGUUUAAAUUAUAAGUCAAAAAGGCA